CUCUCCACCCAGACACCAGUUCCUCUUCCCACUGCUGAGUCACUGGUGCAGAGCCAGAGGAAGGCCAGGGACCCCAGAAGCACCGCGGAGGGUGCUGUCCGCUGCACCUGGUAUCCAGGUGCGCCAGGACGCAGCCCCUGGGUGCUGUGGCUUUUCCAGCAUCGCCGAGGCGAAAGCCUGGCAGUGGGAACCAAAAGGUUUAUUACUCCUGUUGGACACACUCCCAGCUGGCCCAGUUUGUGCACAAGGUACAGAAGAGCUCCUUUGGCAAGGACGUCUGGCUGGCCUUUCUCGGUUCCCGAUAGCUCUGCCAGACCCAUUUCCAGCUGCUGCAGUACAUGGAGUGAAACAGAUGAGAUGCAACCCUCUGAGGGAUGGAGCUGAAAAAUCAACGCCUCUCUCUUCGAGAGUCAGAUCGACAACAUCAACCCGUUCACCUUUCCACAUUCCACAUCCGAUUUCCUCGUUAUCACCACCUGUGCAGAGUACUGUGUUAAGACGAUGGACGGAAGAAAAAACAAAUUCCUUCUGUCCUCAAGCCAUCCGAGGAUCUAAAACAGACAUGCAGCCUCAGCCAGAGCAGCCUCAAGUUCUUGCUCCUGAAUCCAGCCGUGCGCUUUACCCGGGUGGUGUGGGCACCACCUGGGGUGCACCAUGCAGCCGGUAAGGACACCUGCCUCAGCCUCUUGUGCUGCAGGUGUUGGGAUGAGACAGAGCCGGGGAUAGGGGAGGGGGGUUGGGCGGGGGGAGAUGCACCAUCAGUCCUGUUCUCUCCUGGGGCCCCGAGCCAGAAAGGAUGAACCUGAGGGCCCAUUGAUGUCCACUGGGGGGCACUGCUGUCCUGUCUUACUGCCGUGCCUUUUAGGCGUGAGAUCGCACUUCUCCAGGGAAACCUGUUCUGUGGUUUCAAACUCUCAUUGAGGUGCCUCAGUGCCAUUCCCUUCCCGCACGCAGCGUAGAUCUAGCAAACUUCUCUCUCCUGUACACUUAACUUUUAAUAUCUGUUUUUAUGAAAUUAUUCUCUUUUCAUUGCAGAAAGCACAGAUAGGCAAAAACAGGGAAAAAAAAUCAUAAUUCCACUUCAAAAUGGUUCAUUUUGGUAUAUAUCAUAAUGGUCUUCCUAUGCAGAAUUUUUAUAUAUGUGGAUACAUAUUUUUAAAUGGAACAAAAUGGUGUUUACUCCACGUGCUGUUGUUGUAACUUGCUUUCUUCACUCAGCAGCAAAGUGUCAUAAAUGUGCUUCACUGUCAGCACAUUUACGUGUCCAGUUUUUCCUCUGUUUUAAACUACAUGGUGAUAAAUACAACCACAUCUUAGUGCAGCGGUGGUUCCAUCUGUUGUACUGGACCAUCCUCACAUUGCUGCGAAGAAAUACCUGACACUGGGUCAUUUAUAAACAAAAGAGGUUUAAUUGGCUCACGGUUCUGCAGGCUGUACGGGAAGCACGGCAGCAUGUGCUCGGCCUCUGAGGAAGCUUCAGGAAACUUACAAUCAUGAUGGAAGGUGAAGGGGGAGUAGGCACAGCUUACGGCCACUCUGGAGCAAGAGAGCAGGGUGGGCAGGAUGGGGGCGGUGCUUCACACUUGGAAAUAGCAGAUCUCACAAGAACUCACUAUGAUGAGGACAGGACCAAGAGGAUGGUUUGGGUCAUUCAUGAGAAACUGCUCCCAUGUUCCAGUCGCCUCCCACCAGGCCCUACCUGCAGCACUGGGGAUCAUAAUGCAGCAUGAGAUUUGGGGGUCACAGAUCCAAACCAUAUCGCCAUCCUAGCAAAGGGCCUGCGGGACGAAAGCCUGCUGGAAGUCCUGGAUCAGCUGCCUGGGUGUUUUGUUUUUAUAUUUUUGUGUGUAUAGACUCACAGUUGUAUCCAUCCCGCACGUUAACAUUGUUUAUGAUCUCUAUUGCUUCUGACACUCAGGUUGUUUGGAAGCUGGUGUGACAGCCGCUUCCUGCUAGCUCAGGUCCUCACUGUGGCCCAGACAGUCUCGCCUCCAGAACAACAGAAUGUCCUGGGCCCCCCAUGGGUGUCCUUGUCCCCACUCUGGACUCAUUUCUCCAAGCUGCCCUGAUUUUUUUUUUUUUCUUUUUUUGAGACAGAGUUUAGCUCUUGUUGCCCAAGCUGGCCCACACUGGACUCAUUUCUUCAAGCUAACCUGAUUUAUUUAUUUA
rnacentral:lncRNA from 1 species